UCACACUUCCCUUUCUCUCAAGCUCGAGUCCUGAAAAAGAAGGAGUGGGGAGGGGUGGAGGGAAAGAAAGAAAGGUACUAUAGGAAGGAAGACAGCCCGCAGAGACGGCGAAACUAAGGGAGAGUUUUGAAAGGGGGCUGGCUUCUUGCACUGGUUUCUUCCUGAAGCGGGUGGAGGUAGCAUGCAGAUGAACUUGAAAAAAAAAUGAAAAGGACUGCCUUCAAGUCAAUUCCGACUUAUGGGCGACCCUAUGAAUAGGGUUUUCAUGCAAACAUUUCUCCAGCGCUUGGCAGCCUUCUUGGCUGUCCACACUUCCUGAACUAAAAAAGCCCCAUUGGAAGAGUUAUCUCAUGAGGUCUUCCCCUGGGCUUUAAUUGCACCAUGGGCACCUGGGAAGAUUGCAGAGUGCACACCACUGACUCCACAAUGAUCUCAAGGAGCAUCUUUGGCUCACUGAUGGACUCCAGACCUAAGGCCUGGUGAAAGAGCCAUGCCUGUGAUCCUGCUCUCCUAACAAAGUUCUGCAGUCACUUCAUGCAUACAGUUCCUGAGCUCAGAGCUUGGGUCCCCAGCACCUUCACCUUCUCCACCCACUCAUCUUCAGGAGUGCUUUAGCCAGUGCUAGGAGAAGUAACUGCACCUCUAUCUUCCAUUGCUAUUUCCUCCUUUUUUGUGUAGCAACUCUUAUUCCUUUAAGUUAAAA